GUUUGGGACAUAUUUAAUAUAUAUUUAACAAUAUGGUAAAUAGUAUAAGAAUAUAUUUAGACAGUAUAAUAAUUGUAGUAAUGUCCCAUAGAUUGUAAUUGUCAGGGUGCUCUGUUUUCCAUGCUCUCUUUUGGUUCUCAGGUGGUUCUAGUUGGCUGGGGGACGUGGCCCACACCUGCGGCUCAUUGUAGUGGCUUCCUUCGGCUUCUUAAGGAGAGAGAGCAGACAGAUGGAACACGCCAGAGCCUUAACCCAGUCGUGUUUGCUUGUGGACAAUUACCCGCCUCAACGUCUCGUUUGAUGAACUUCGUUUGUAUGUUUGGAUUACUCACUCGGUCCGACGGCUUCCCUGAAGAACCAGCGCUCCACAAAUCCCCGAAGCUCAGAUUCUGCUCUGGCAAUCCACUCAGACUCCCUUGGUAUUACCAGGCGGGGCCUGAGACCCCUUCCCUGGAUUCAGCUGGUUCUCCACUCUGGUCAACCAUCUGUCACUCCUGUCUGCUGAGGCGCGCUCCGGAUUCCUCGCCAGCUUACCAUCUGCCCUCCCUCCAGCCACUUACCACUGUUCAACCACUGAGAGCUGCGGUCACAGAGUUCCCUGUCUCUCUCCCCCUGGUUAGACUAGCUCGACCUAGUCUAACCAGGGUCCUGAACCUCUAAUAAACAUCUUAAAAUUG